UAUGUGAUCGUCUCUCGCAUAUCAAUAAGCGGAGGAAAAGAAACUAACAAGGAUUCCCCUAGUAACGGCGAGUGAAGCGGGAAGAGCUCAAAUUUGAAAUCUUAAAGGGUUUCCCUUUACGAAUUGUAGUUUAAAGAAGUGUUUUCUGUUGAGGUUUUGGUAAAAGUUCUUUGGAAUAGGACAUCAUAGAGGGUGAGAAUCCCGUAUUUGACCUUUACUUUCAACUUUGUGAUACACUUUCAAAGAGUCGGAUUGUUUGGGAAUGCAGUCCAAAAUGGGUGGUAAAUUUCAUCUAAAGCUAAAUAUUGGCGAGAGACCGAUAGCGAACAAGUACCGUGAGGGAAAGAUGAAAAGAACUUUGAAAAGAGAGUUAAACAGUACGUGAAAUUGUCAAAAGGGAAGCGUUUGACACCAGUGUUGUUUUUCUGAAAAUCAAUUAAAGAACUGUUUAUGCUAAGUUGUUUAGACUUUAUCAGCUAUCUGUUUAGUUUUGAGCUUUUCUUUAAUGCACUUUUCAGUUAACAAGUCAACAUCAAUUUCUUUUGCUGUAAAAAAGCUUGAGGAAGGUGGCUUGAGAUUCGUCUUAAGUGUUUAUAGCCUCUUGCCUAUGCAGUCGGAGAGAUUGAGGUCUGCAGCGUAGAUCCUUCGGGGCUAAAUGCAUUUGUGCUAAGUUAUAGCAUUUUAUAGACAACUUGUUGACUAUGAUUUGUCUUGUAGCUUACUCGCUUAUGUUAUUUUACCUACGCUUAGGAUGUUGACACACGCGCGUGCUCG
rnacentral:rRNA from 1 species